AUAAUAAUAAUAAUAAUAAUUCCUUGCACUAUUAUGCAUAACCUAUAUAACUACUAAUUUUGGUGAACAACCAAAAAUAUUUUCUGAGGCAAAUGACUGCAUUGAUCAAAUGUGCCAACCUUCACACUGGUAAAUAUUUGAGAGCUCAAAUUGUAAUUAUAAAAGAGUCAUAACAGUUUUAGUUACCAAUUAGUAUUUGCGUAAUCAAUAAAUGUUGCACAAAGAAAAAUAUGAAAGAUUAAUGUUAAGCAACGCUCAGAGCUCACCU
rnacentral:misc_RNA from 1 species